rnacentral:lncRNA from 1 species
GUGUGGACCUGAUUGAGGAGCACCUGAGGGAGAUCCGGAGCCUCCGCCAGCGUCUAGAAGAUUCCAUCCGAACCAAUGAGCGCCUCAGGCAGCAGCUGGAGGACAGGCUGGCAGGGGGACAGGGAGGUGAGACAACAGGAGAAGCACAUUACACACACACACACAGACAGACACACACACACGCACACACGCACGCACACACGCACACACGCACGCACGCACACACACACACACAAACACACACACACACACACACAAACACACAUGAUAUGCGCCCUAGAGUGUUGCAGUGAAUGUUUCAAGUUUGUCGAGAAGAGUGCAAAGGGAUUAACACCAAAGGGAUUUCUACGUGUGUCUCUUGCAGGAGCCGCCACUAACAUCUACAUUCAGGGGCUGGACUCAGUCAAUCAGCUGUCCAAUGAGAUCAGAGCUCUGAAGGAGGAGAACAUGGGCCUCAAGUCCAAGCUGCAGAGUUGCAGAGACAGCAGUGAGGAGGUGCUGUGUGGGCGCGCUCGGCUGCAGCAGGCGGAGCUGGAGGCGGAGCAGUGGAAGGAGGAGCUGCGCAGGCUGCAGACCCACGGCUGUGAACAGAGCCAGCAGAUCCAGCAGCUGAGACAGGAGCGGCAGGCCAGCCAGGAGCUCACCAACAGGCACGAGCACAGCACAGCACAGCACAGCACGGCACAGCACAGCACAGCACACGCUCAUAGACACUCAGGGCCAGAGAACCAUUGAGACAGGAGCGGCAGGCCAGCCAGGAGCUCACCAACAGGCACGAGCACAGCACAGCACGGCACGGCACGGCACAGCACAGCACAGCACAGCACAGCACAGCACAGCACAUGCUCAUAGACACUCAGGGCCAGAGAACCAUUGAGACAGGAGCGGCAGGCCAGCCAGGAGCUCACCAACAGGCACGAGCACAGCACAGCACGGCACAGCACAGCACAGCACAUGCUCAUAGACACUCAGGGCCAGAGAACCAUUGAGACAGGAGCGGCAGGUCAGCCAGGAGCUCACCAACAGGCACGAGCACAGCACGGCACGGCACAGCACGAGCACAGCACAGCACAUGCUCAUAGACACUCAGGGCCAGAGAACCAUUGAGACAGGAGCGGCAGGUCAGCCAGGAGCUCACCAACAGGCACGAGCACAGCACAGCACAGCACAGCACACGCUCAUAGACACUCAGGGCCAGAUUUACAAACAGAAUUGCGCCCACUUCAGGCGUAAUUUCUGCUCAAAAUGCGGGUAAAGACAUGGAACCGUAUUUACAAAGGCGGAGCACUUGAGUGAAAACGCAGAUUGCCCGCUGCCGGGAGGAUAUAAGGGAAUGUGGGUGUUCGCCGCAAAGAGAUGGGAGGAGAUGCGUAAAGUGCGCCUAAUUAUGUAUUCUGUGUUAUACUAAAACUGCCUGACGAGAGCGUGAGAAUUAUCCGCCUCAUAAAAGCAGGUCUAAAACUGGUCAGUUCCAUUUCUAACGAAACAAGAGGUGUUUUAGCAUGACAUAUCAGAUGCUAAAUGAAAACUAUGUGCGUGCGAGAAAUUUUACGCAAUUCAUAAAAAAAAAAAAUACGAACUUCAGUGUUUUGGGAAAAUAUAACAGAAAUGUUAUUUGUUUAAAUGUUUAUAUUUGAUACAUCAUUUAAUAUAGGCAUAUAAAAAAUUGUCCCACCAGCUAGCUGUUUGGCCAGGUCUUACCCAGAAUCGACGCUCAAUGUAGGGUUUAAAGUUU